UAGGGAAUCUUCCGCAAUGGACGCAAGUCUGACGGAGCAACGCCGCGUGAGUGAAGAAGGAUUUCGGUUCGUAAAACUCUGUUGUUAGAGAAGAACAGCGCAUAGAGUAACUGUUAUGCGUGUGACGGUAUCUAACCAGAAAGCCACGGCUAACUACGUGCCAGCAGCCGCGGUAAUACGUAGGUGGCAAGCGUUGUCCGGAUUUAUUGGGCGUAAAGCGAGCGCAGGCGGUCAAUUAAGUCUGAUGUGAAAGCCCCCGGCUCAACCGGGGAGGGGCAUUGGGAUCUGGUUGACUUGAGUGCAGAAGAGGAGAGUGGAAUUCCAUGGAUAGCGGUGAAAUGCGUAGAUAUAUGGAGGAACGCCAGUGGCGAAGGCGACUCUCUGGUCUGUAACUGACGCUGAGGCUCGAAAGCGUGGGUAGCAAACAGG
rnacentral:rRNA from 1 species